GUGCCAGCAGCCGCGGUAACACGUAAGCCCCGAGCGUUGUUCGGAAUUAUUGGGCGUAAAGGGCAUGUAGGCGGUCCUGCAAGCCCGGUGUGAAAGGCGGGGGCUCAACCCCCGGACUGCGCCGGGAACUGCAGGGCUGGAGUCGCUGAGGGGCAGCCGGAAUUCCAGGUGUAGGGGUGAAAUCUGUAGAUAUCUGGAAGAACACCGAUGGCGAAGGGCAGGCUGCCAGCAGACGACUGACGCUGAGGUGCGAAGGUUGCGGGGAGCAAACAGGAUUAGAUACCCUGGUAGUCCGCACAGUCAACUAUGUGCACUAGGUGUCCGGCCAUAAGGCUGGGUGCCGAAGCGAACGCGAUAAGUGCACCGCCUGNGGAGUAUUGCCGCAAGGGUGAAACUCAAAGGAAUUGACGGGGCCCGCACAAGCGGUGGAGCAUGUGGUUAAUUCGAUGGUACGCGAGGAACCUUACCUGGGUUUGGCAUACACAGGAAUUAUAUAGAGAUAUGUAAGCGCAGCAAUGCGUCUGUGAACAAGUGCUGCAUGGCUGUCGUCAGCUCGUGCCGUGAGGUGUUGGGUUAAGUCCCGCAACGAGCGCAACCCCUACUGCCAGUUACCAACAGGUAAAGCUGGGGACUCUGGCGGAACUGCCGGUGACAAAACCGGAGGAAGGCGGGGAUGACGUCAAGUCAUCAUGGCCCUUAUGUCCAGGGCUACACACGUGCUACAAUGGCAGGUACAAAGCGAAGCGAGGCCGCGAGGCGGAGCAAAGCGCAUAAAGCCUGUCGUAGUUCGGAUAGGAGUCUGAAACCCGACUCCUUGAAGUUGGAAUCGCUAGUAAUCGCGCAUCAGCACGGCGCGGUGAAUACGUUCCCGGGCCUUGUACACACCGCCCGUA
rnacentral:rRNA from 1 species